CAUCUUUGAACAUGUUGCAUGUAUGCUCACAAGGUCGAUCUAGCUGUUAUUAUUACGGUAUUUAUUCUAAAGGGAAUUCUAAAUUGUGCUGGUGAUUCCAGAGGCAUGCAGGGGUGUUUACAAACAGACGACCACAGCUGAAGUAGAUUGUGAGCUUGGAGAGGUCCUGAAACUGGCCACUUUUCGAAAGGGAGGUUCAAAGUUUGAGGAGAAGAGGAGGAAUUAAGAGGAAGCGACGACGAAGAAGGGCAAAGGGAAGUGUACAAAGAAAAGGGACAGUGAGAUGAGUGACCAGGAAGUGAAGAAGAAGAAAACAGGGAAAGGGAAAAGAACCAAGCAAACGCUAGUGAGACCAGUGAGCAUUGAGCAGGAAGAGAACCAACAAGAAGGGGCAGGAGUACACUGACGCGCACGACCAAGACCACAGCAUUCCAUUUCUAUUCCAUCCAUCCAUCCAUCUUCUUCCGCUUAUCCGAGGUCGGGUCGCGGGGGCAGCAGCCUAAGCAGGGAA